AUGAACACUUCAUUUCGGGUCAGAAGAGUGAGAAUCCAUUGCACCCUGACUAUGUGCCAAGUUUGUUUGAUUAUCUCACACCUGAGCAACGCAAAAGAAAAAGAAAUAGCUACAGCAAAUUUGAGCAAAUCCAAGCUGUCAAAAGAAAGAGAAGGACGCAUGAUGUUGGACCUGUGGCACCCUGUGAUGACACCUCAGCUCAGGAGGGUAGAGGUCAGACAGCUGAUCACAACUACUGUAACUCCACAGUCGAUGCUGAGAGCAGUGUACCAUGCUCCAAUGAAGCCUGCCAAGAAACUGUGAGGAAACUGACAGAAGUGUGUACUGCACUGAGGUCAGAGGUUUAUCAGCUCAGGGAAAAGGUUAGCAAGUUAUCCUUCAGCCAGGAAACCUUCAAGGACAAUGAUGACAUGGUGCAGGACUUAACUGGACUUCCAUCCUUUGCCAAGCUGAUGGUUGUCUUCACUUUUGUGUCAGAGUUCCUCAAGGUGGGACCUGGACUGUCUCCCUUUCA
rnacentral:lncRNA from 1 species